UACAGAGGGGGCAAGCGUUAUUCGGAAUUAUUGGGCGUAAAGGGCGCGUAGGCGGCCUGGCAAGUGGAUGGUGAAAUCCCUCGGCUUAACCGAGGAACUGCCAUCCAGACUGCUUGGCUUGAGACCGGGAGAGGUGAGUGGAAUUCCCAGUGUAGCGGUGAAAUGCGUAGAUAUUGGGAGGAACACCAGUGGCGAAGGCGGCUCACUGGACCGGUACUGACGCUGAGGCGCGGAAAGCGUGGGGAGCAAACGGGGAUUAAGAAACC
rnacentral:rRNA from 1 species